GGCGCCGCGCUCCUCCUGCAGCGGCGUUGGCGGCGGGCGGGAUGCGCGGCCCGGCCCGCGGCAGCUGUGAAUUCUUGUAGAAGAUUGAUAGCUCUGCCAGCAUUUGUCCACAAUAGAAGAUGGGUGGAUUAAUUUCAAGAUGGAGGCAGGCAAAGCCUUCCACUGUAGAAGUAUUAGAGAAAAUAGAUAAGGAAAUACAGACAUUAGAAGAAUUUAGAGAAAAAAAUCAGAGGCUACAGAAACUAUGGGUUGGAAGGCUUCUUCUCUACUCCUCAGUUCUUUACCUUAUCACUUGCUUAAUUGUAUAUUUGUGGUGUCUUCCUGAUGAAUGGACAGCAAGGCUGACAAUGACGCUUCCAUUUUUUGCAUUUCCGUUCAUAAUCUGGUGUAUAAGAACUCUGCUAAUUUUUUUCUUUUCCAAACGGACAGAAAGAAAUAAUGAUGCGCUGGAAGAUUUAAAAUCCCAAAAGAAAAAAAUACUUGAGGAAGUAAUGGAAAAGGAAACCUACAAGAAUGCUAAACUAAUCCUUGAAAGGUUUGAUCCAGAAUCAAGUGCAAAGGACACUGAACUACCAUCUGCUGGAACAUCUGCAACCCCAAGACCUGGACAAGAAAUUCGUCAGAGGACUGCAGCUCAAAGAAAUGCUUCUGCACCCCCACCUGCAACUCCUAAACAAGGCUCUCCCAAGUCCCCUGUUCCAGCAUCUCCUACCCUGCAGAGAGAGGGCCCAGCUGUGAGCGGGCUCCCAGGAAGAGCUGCUGCGCCAUCCUUGCCAUCCAGCGUUUUACCACGGCACCCUGGAUCCCCUGCUACUUCAGUGCCUGGAAUGGGUCUUCAUCCUCCAGGCCCCCCUUUGGCAAGACCUGUUCUUCCUCGAGAAAGAGGAGUUGUGGAUAGAGUUAUUGAAUAUUUGGUUGGUGAUGGUCCUCAGAACAGGUAUGCCCUUAUAUGUCAGCAAUGUUUUUCUCACAAUGGUAUGGCUUUGAAGGAGGAGUUUGAAUACAUAGCAUUUAGAUGUGCCUACUGCUUCUUCCUGAAUCCUGCAAGAAAAACUAGACCUCAGGCUCCACGACUUCCAGACUUCAGUUUUGAAAAAAGGCCAACUACAGAAUUGCGAUCUCAAAUGGAGCCUCUGGAACCCAGAGAGAGAAGGCCCCAGGAGACUGAACAGGCAAAAGAAUCUGAAGAUGAUGGAGUCCGGCUCGUUGAGACAAAUGACACAGAUGAUAAAGCACCAAGUUCUGAGCAUCUAAAUGAUAAGCUAGCUGAAGAAGUCGAAAAAGAAGAAGCAGAAAACAUUUCAACAACUGAAGAGGCUAUUUCAGAGUCUACUUCAGCUGAACAAAGUGAAGAAUCUUUAAUAAAAGCAGAAUAAAAUACUUCAAGUGCCUUCUGUAGCUAGUUUUUAGCUUUGUUCAUGCCUGUUGUUACUAUUCAGAAGCUGGAUUUGUAGAAAACUCAAGCAACAAAGACCUUCCAGCUCUUCUCAAGUGCCCUCUAAUUCCUUGCAUCACUUCAAGGAGUUCUGCUCAGUUGAUGAAACUUAAUUUUUGACUUGUUCAGCACUCAAAAACAUUUUACAAAACCACCAAGAUAAUUCCUUUUUAAGAAAACUGUUUUGAAUUAUGUUUUAAAGGAAAUGUGAAAGUUAUUUCUUUAGGAAUGUUUGUACUUGCAUUUUUGUAAAGUGAGCUUUUAUUUAAGCAGGAGUACCUGUAUAUUUAUAGAUGCUAUUGUUGUAAUAGUAUUGUUGCAUUAGUAAAGGGUAUGUUUGUUUAUGUACUAUAAAUAUUAUCUUUAAUCAGAAAUAUUAUCUUUAAUCGUUCUAAUCCUAGAUGUAGCCUUGACUAUACAUCACCUGCAGUUGAAAUUUCAUUAAAAUCAAUGGCAAAAACAUUAAUUAGUGUGAAUUCUUAGGCUCUAAUAGACUUCCUGAAAUGUCUGUCUUAGCUUUUCUGCUUGUAAUUGAGAAAAUAUUUGAACUUGUGCCCCCCUUUUGAAAUUUACUAUUUUACCAAAUGAAGCAAAUUUUAAAGCAUAUGAAAUGAAAUUGCAUAGUUUGUUAUUUGAAUAUAUGCUGUCUUUGCUGUGUAUGUAAGUUGUUGAGGAAAAAACUGAUCAUGAAAAAGCUAUUUAUUUGCCUGAGCUUAAUUGAUGAUUUGAGGUGAUAAUUCUGUUUAAUAGUUCCUUCUGUGCUGGCUGUACUUAAUCAACUUGAGUUUUGUAGUUAUCUGGGUGUUUUUGAGAACCCCAUAUGUUCCCAAACAAGGAUGAGGGAGCCCCUGCCUCGUUAAUGCAGCCCCUGCCCCCCGGUUGGACUGGCAUAUGUAGGAGAAGAAAGUUGUUCAAGGUUGAGUAGUUUCUGAUAGGACCCAUUUGUCUGUGCUACAGCCAAUUGUGAGAACUCCUGGCUCAUGGCAUGAGCAGCCAGCUCUCCACCCUCAAAGGUCAGCCUGGCACAGGACUGCAAAAUUUUGUGUGUGCUGAGGUAGAGGCAGGAAAACCUGCCUUGACUCAGGAUUGAAAAUAUGUGGCAGCUUCAGAGAGAAUUGUGGAGUUGUGAAGGUGCUGACUUUGGCCCACGAUUCCAUAGACAUUUCAGGGUGGGUAUUGCAGCUUUUAUUGUAUCUAAAUGGUGAUUUAUGUCCUUAUUCCUCCAUUAUUGUCCACAAGGUACUGCCCUGUGUCACAGGCCUGUAUUACCUAGUUUUUUCAGACUGUUUCAUUUUCAUUAGCACAGCUGCUUUAGCUUGUGAUCAGUGUACUGCACCUCAUUGAUAAUCUAAGAGGGUAUUAGAGGCACAGAAGUGACGCGUAACCCUGUCAGUCUGGCUUGAUUGACCCCUUCCAAAACAUGGGUUCAUUUUUUUUUUAAAAUCCAAGUUAGCCUGCAUCCAUUUUCACACAGAUUCCGGGCAGUUUAAAGGUUGGUCAGAUUCGAAUAUUGCUCUUUCAAAUUUGAUAAUGUAUGAGUACAGAACUGUGACCUUUGAUACGUAGUAAUACAUCAACAUGACAUGAGCAGUAAGUGCAGCAAUUACCUUUGCUACACUUCAGAUUGUGUUUUAGUUCUCAUCUUGCAUGCAAUUAUUUCAGGAAAAAAGGAAUGCCUUUAAGUUAAAUAUUUUUUGCAAAUAGCAUAAGUGCAGAAAUUAAUUUCUGGGGACUUUCUGAUUUACAGGUAAAUGUUUUCAAAUUAAUCUUGGCUUUUAAAUUAUCAUUGUUUUAGUGGUAGAAAGAAGCCUGCUGCCAUUGGCUUUUAAAAUACUUUUAUUUUCUGAAAGAGUUUCUUUAAACAUUUUUGUUGUGUUCUAAUGUAAUCUAAAUUUCAUAUUCUAAUUUAUGGCCAAAGCCUGAUCCUGCAGGCAGUUGACAUGUCACUGUGUUCAUGUUGCUCCCAUGAUAAUACUCAUGAGUUGGUUAUGUGCAUGGUAAUAAUGCAAGUUUACAUGCUUUUAGGUGCCUUUCAGAACAUCAGAGCAUCUCAGACGUGUAUCACAUACUGAUUUAAGAGGCUGUUUUUAGGUGCCCCAGCAAUGUUUCAUCUUUUUUCUGAGCAGAUCAGGAUGCAUUUGGUUUGUUUCCAGAUGUUCUUUCUCACUUGUUGUUAUGAAUUAUUUGGAUAAUGAUUGUGCACAAGCACUACCUGGUAGUGCUAUAAAAACACAAAUCAGUACUCCUUGCCAAAGAGCAUAAGGCCUUGAGAGGACUGAUAGCGGUUGUGGCUUCUGUUCUGUGAGUUAAGAAUCAGAAUAAAAUUACUGUGUCAUUCUGGGCAAGCAAUUGAAUAACCAUUGGAUGGUGACUCUGUCACUGUUGUCUGUCACAACCUAAACUCAAAGGGAUAAUUUGAAGUAGGACUUCAUGUUCUUGUACGUGUCUCCUCAGCAGCCAAGCACUGAGGGGUGUUGGCAUGCCAAAGUUAGGCACUGAACUUUAAUUCAGGAGCUGGGGAAGUCCUUAUUUUGUUCUCUAUUGAGGUGAAAUCAACACCUUUUGGAAUGGCAUUCUUUAAACUGUUAAAAAUGUACAGCCCUAGUCCCCAAAACCAUUUGGUCAUUCUGGGGCACAGGAGGCAGGCUGAUGUGGAAUAGGGACUGAAAGGAGCCACUCUCUUCCAAACCUACCAAGUGCUGAGGGUGCUUUUGCUAGGCUGGCUUUGUCUUUUAAUUCCUGCCUGUGGAGGCUGCUCACUUGCUGUACGUGUGCACUUGUUAUAGAUUGAUAAAACUGAAAGCUUUUCUAAUGCAAUGGAAGGAAGGGUGUCUUUUUUUGCUCACUAUUUUGUAGCAAGUAGCUAUUGUGCUGUUGUUUGUCCCCAGGGAGUAAAAUCAAAACAAAUUUAUUAGAUGACCAUAGAACUUGCUCCUAAGCAGGGUCUUGACCAUACAAAUUGUUUUGCAAAGCCACAAGGAAGGUGCUACCUGGGGACAAUGUGCAACCGUGGUUUUGCUUUGUUUCUUGUUGCUUUUACCCUGUGCCACUUAAGGGCACUUGGGCCCUUAAUUCCUUUAAAAUAUGCAAAAAAAUAGAGUUGUUUUGUUACUGCCAUUAAAUUUUAAAUGCUUACAGCCAGUAGUAACUUACUUUGGGAAAAAACUACCCAGUCCACUUUGCUGCAGUGUUUUCCAUUAAAAAAUGUAAAUACUGUAUAUGUGGAAGUCUUAGGUCUAUGCUGCCGCCUUAGCAGGUGAUGACAGCUCAGUGGGGAAGUUUGUUUGGCAGCUGGGGCUCCAUGUUUGUAGAAAGUUCCUUAGGCUGAAAGGCUGCCCUUGUACAGGUAGGUGACUCUUGGUAGAGAAGUGAAUUUGUUACUUGACUACAAGUAAUAAGGGGAUAACAAUGGCAACUACUAAUAAUUGCAUGUUAUUAUUUGUUGAUUGUUAUUUGCUCAUUCUGAGUUUAUUAUUUCUGGUAACAACUCUGGCUUCUUUAGUUUUCUAUAUUGUAUAUUAUUAACCACUUUUUAAAAAAGAGUGACAACACUGAUAUUCCCCAACAGUAGCAUCUUUUUGAUAGUAUCUAUAAAAUAUUUCCUUUCAUAUUUUAGAGAAGGAGGUGAAGGUAAUAUUUUUUCCAUGAUUCAUACUAUAGCAGUAUGACUAGAAGUAUUUACUUUUCAGAAAUGCUAGGAUUUUUGUUUGUUUCAGCUAUUUGCCUAGAUCUAUGUGAUUUUGGAGCUUUUUAAAAAAUGGUGAAUGAUAGCCUGGUUGCAGAAUGUAUUUUCUUUUUAAGGCUUAUCUUAAAAGAAAAGACCUAGCAGGUUGCAAUGAUAAAAUCCUCCUGGAAGGAAUUGGUUGAAUUAUUGAAGAAAUGGUAGGCAGCUGAAAUUAUGGACACUUAAUGGAAAAUACUUGGCUAAGACUGUGCACAACAUCUUGUGAAUACUCCUGAUACAUCAUAAUAAGGCAUUAUGUUUGUCUAGUCAUGAAGUCUGAUCUAUUUGAUUUUAAAUCUCAGAUUGUGAGAUUGAUCUCUGAUUCUGAGUAAGUGUAAUGAUUCUGAGAGCUGGAAUAUUGUUUGCCAUUGUGAACCGUGCUGAAGGAUUCUCAGAAUGUAUAACAUAAUAGAUGCAAUUUUGUUUGAUUUUUUUGUUCCCUAGGCCAAUUUAAUUUUGAUUUAUUUGCCUCAUUAACCCAGAAAUUCAGAAAAUUGAAUGCUACCUGAUCGAGGUAUUAUUAACACUAGUGAAAUAUCUUCAAAUUCACUUCAUGCUUAUAAAUUAGUCUUUUGAAAGCAUUUUAAAGGCAUAAUGAUGCUGUAGUGAAAAUGUACAGCAUCAUUUAAAAAUUGCAAACUGCUUAUUUGAUUUCAGAAAUAAGACUUGGUCACCUGACUUAAAUAUAUACUGAUCUAUUAUUUAUGCUUUGAAAAUAGAGCUGAUAAAAAGCAUAAGUGUUCUUGAUAUUAUAUUUUGUCAUAUCUAGCUAAAAAGAUUGAAAUCCAGAGAAACAAUUUUCUGAAGAAAUGAAAUAGUAUGCCCUCCUGAACCCCUGGGGAAAAUAGCCUCUCUGUUUGCUCAGAAUACGAAGCAGUAAAACAGUAUAAGUAAAACAGACAGCCCAUGUCACAUUCCUAUUUGUACAGUCUGGAAUGAUGUUUUAAAAACAUUUUCUAGUUAUUUUUGAUAAAUAAAUGGCAAAAAUAACAUCUGCAAACCAACCCUGCUGAUGUAAGAUUUUUCAGAUCAGAUUUGUUUGUCAGUGAAAGUUCAGAAAAUUGCCUUGCAGAACUUAAGCUGUAUAACUCCCAAAAAUAUGCACACCAAAUGUGUAAGAAUAUAUUUUGUUGUCUUUUGCCCUUCCUUGGAGAAAAUAAUGCUGAUUCUCCAUUAUCUUUGCUUUUGGGCUUAGAAGGUAGCUUGAUAAAAAUAGAGGAAAUCAAUUAGGAUAUAAAAUCGCAUGUUUAUGAAGUGUUAAAUAGCUCUAAGUUCAUAUUCACAGUGGAGCAUGCAGCUAUGUAUUUGGAAUAGUGUAUUCUGGUUAAAGCUCUGAGAUUUCCCCCUGAGCCAGUACUGCUGCACUGCAAACUUGGCUUAGUGCUUGUAAGAUCCUUGCUCAGGCGCUGCUCCCACCUCUGGCCAGGUGUGACAAGGACAGAUGGGCGGUGUCUGGCUGUUGCUCCCUUCAGGUGCUGCCAAAGGCUGCCACACUGGGGCUGAAGAGAAGGUCCUCCAGAAAUUGUGGCUUUCAGAAAUGCACUCUUCAGUUCAAGGAUGCUGCUGCCACUCUAAUUUCCAUCACUGGCAUAAUAGCUGAGAUGGAAAAACAUUCCUUGGGCAGCAGGAUUGAGAAACCUGAUGUCAUGGCUCUACCAAUGCCUGGUUAUCCAGGACUGGCUAAGGAAGGUGUGUCUGUACAUCUUCCAAAACAUGGUUUGUUGGGGUAAUGUCCUUUCAGCUGCAUUUGAGUAAUAAAUGUCUUAUGACUGUUGGUAUGCUUUGGACUUUAGUGCCUUGAAGAGUUGCUUAAAAUCAGCUUUAAUUUUAUUUUUGUAAAUGGACUCCAUCUCAGACUAAAUUCUGUGAUACGUCCACAGAAAAAUAAGGCAUGUAUUUUUCAUUAAGUAUGUGUUUAAUAGUGACCAACCCCCCACCCCCUUUUUCUUUUAUUUUUUCAGUCUUUAAAAAAAUAAUGAUUUAAUAAACUCUUCUCUCUGAGUUUAUACUAGGCUGGAAUAUUACCUGUUAUUUUAAUACCUGAACAAAAGAUGGGGUUUACCAGGCUAAUAAUAUUUGAUUACAAUAAUUCUCCCUCCAUUGAAUGAAAAAAGGCUUGGCUAGGGAGUUUUUGUAAGGAUCAGGGCUAGAAUUCUAGAACAGGUAAUUUUUGUGUUCUGUUUGCAUGUGUUCACUAUUGUAUAUAAUCAUAGUGGUGAUAACUGGCACACUGAAUAAGCUGAAUGUUUGUUUCUCUACAGCAGGUAUAAGAAGGAAUGAACAUGGUAAUGCUAAGUUCUAAAUCCAAGCACUUCUGAU